UUUCUUCUUUUCAGCAACCAUUCCCAGGUGGGCAGGCUCAAAUUGUCUCCCUGAGAGCUGAACAAAGGCUCUUUAGUUUAACAUUCAGGCAGGGGGGCAGGGUUCCCUGAGGCAGGCCAUUACGUAUGAUUAUAACAACAAAGGCAACGAAAAGCAAACCUUAAAGUAAGGGGGGAAAAAAAAACAGAUCUAACUUGGAGUCUGUUUUGGCUCUUCAGAGAACCCAGUGGCAUCCACCCCCCUCAAUGCUAGGGGCCCCUCACCCAGCCCUCAGUGAUUCUGCCCAUUUUCCCUUUUCCUCUAGAGCAUCUCCCAGGCACAUUGUGGAGACAGCUGCCAGCUCUUCGAAGCAGGACUUGAUCUCUCUGUAUGUCUGUGUAGCCACGGCUUCGCCCUCCUCCUCCUCCUCCCCACAGACACUGGAGCUGCACAGAGAUGGUGCGGAGGCGAUGGCUCUGGGCCCCUCAUCUGGUCUCCUUCCCAAGCAGGCGCUCCUCACUGUCAUCAGCCAGGGCUUCCAGGCACCUGCCACUUUGCAACAGAGAAACUGAGUCCAGGGAGGAGCCUGACAGCAAGCAUCCCCCACCCAAGGAAGGUGGUGUUCUGGAGCAGCCUCCUUUCUUGCCAAGCCUCAUCCCCCUCACAGUCCUCUUUGAAAUAAGCCCUGGGUGACUCACCACCCACAUGCCAAGCAGCCUCUAGGACAUUUUGCUGACUUAAAAGCCAUCCUUUCUUGAGCCGACUAUGCCCUCCCUCCCCUCUCCCACGAAAGCAGCAGCUCCUGGGAUGGUUCUUGGCUGUACAUCAGAAAUUUUCUCUUCUAUUUCAGGAAGAUUCAUCCGACCAGAGUGAGCAGCCUGCAAGGAGCUGGUAAAGGCUGGAGGUGCCAGGAACAUCAGGAGAGCAGCCAGGGCCCUGCGGAGGGGAAGCACUCCAUAUUGCAGAAGGAAAUUCCUAUGCAUGAGAAAAUUCCUUUGUUUAGUAAAUCACACAAAAAUCCAACAGAAAUUGUGAAAAUUCUGAAAGACAACAUGGUCGUUUUGGAAAAGACAAAAAGAUAAACAAGGUGACAAGGAUCACAGUCUACGUGAAGGCUGAGCAGCCUGUUAAAGAGAUGAAGCCUGCUCCAUCUCUCUGCAAACGUGGGUCACAGCCCCCUCUACAGAAAUCCUACACCCCAGGGAGGCACUCUCCUCUCUCCAGAUCCACCACGCACCUUCCCACACCUCUGCCAUUUUCUCCACCUGGAAUGCCCUCCCCCUCUUUUCCA